CAGCUAAAACUGAAGGAAACAGUUGAAGCAGCUGUUCUAUUUGAACCUCAUGUUGUAUUAACGGUUGAUUCUAAGGGCUUUUCUUUUCGGUUCUUGAAACAACUUAGAGCUAGAUACAUUCAGAAAAAUUUGGAUAUUCCAUCACACUUUCACUAUGUAGCACCAUCAUUCUGGGCAUGGAAAGGAGGUGAAGCAAGACUCAGAGGACUAGCAGAAUUUGUGGAUCAUCUAUUGUGCAUACUUCCAAAUGAAGACAAAAUAUGUAGAUUGAAUGGAUUGCACGCAACAGCUGUUGGGCAUCCGGUCUUGGAAGAUGUUCUGGAAUUGAAUUUGAGAAACAAGUCCACAAUUAAUGAAUGGAGGGC